rnacentral:sRNA from 1 species
GCCAGGUGUGGUGGCACAUGCCUGUAAUCCUCGCAACUUGGGAGGCUGAGGCAGGAGGAUUGCAUGUUUGAAUCCAGCCUCAA